rnacentral:rRNA from 1 species
ACGCUGGCGGCACGCCUAACACAUGCAAGUCGAACGAAGUAGCAAUACUUAGUGGCAGACGGGUGAGUAACAUGUAGGUAUCUGCCCUUUGGCCUGGAAUAACACGAGGAAACUUGUGCUAAUACCGGAUAAGUCUUUACGGAGAAAGCUUUAUGCACCAUUGGAUGAGCCUGCACUUGAUUAGUUUGUUGGUGGGGUAAUGGCCUACCAAGACUGUGAUCAAUAGCUGAUUUGAGAGGAUGAUCAGCCACAUUGGGACUGAGACACGGCCCAAACUCCUACGGGAGGCAGCAGUGGGGAAUCUUGCACAAUGGAGGAAACUCUGAUGCAGCGAUGCCGCGUGAGUGAAGAAGGCCCUUGGGUUGUAAAGCUCUUUCGUCGGGGAAGAAAAUGACUGUACCCGAAUAAGAAGGUCCGGCUAACUUCGUGCCAGCAGCCGCGGUAAUACGAAGGGACCUAGCGUAGUUCGGAAUUACUGGGCUUAAAGAGUUCGUAGGUGGUUGAAAUAGUUAGUGGUGAAAUCCCAGAGCUUAACUCUGGAACUGCCAUUAAAACUUUUCAGCUAGAGUAUGAUAGAGGAAAGCAGAAUUUCUAGUGUAGAGGUGAAAUUCGUAGAUAUUAGAAAGAAUACCAAUUGCGAAGGCAGCUUUCUGGAUCAUUACUGACACUGAGGAACGAAAGCAUGGGUAGCGAAGAGGAUUAGAUACCCUCGUAGUCCAUGCCGUAAACGAUGUGUGUUAGACGUUGGAAAUUUAUUUUCAGUGUCGCAGGGAAACCGAUAAACACACCGCCUGGGGAGUACGACCGCAAGGUUAAAACUCAAAUGAAUUGACGGGGACCCGCACAAGUAGUGGAGCAUGUGGUUUAAUUCGAAGAUACGCGCAGAACCUUACCAACACUUGACAUGUUCGUCGCGACUCUAAGAGAUUAGAGUUUUCGGUUCGGCCGGACGAAACACAGGUGCUGCAUGGCUGUCGUCAGCUCGUGUCGUGAGAUGUUGGGUUAAGUCCCGCAACGAGCGCAACCCUCACUUUUAGUUGCCAUCAUUAAGUUGGGCACUCUGAAAGAACCGCCAGUGAUAAGCUGGAGGAAGGUGGGGAUUACGUCAAGUCCUCAUGGCCCUUACGUGUUGGGCUACACACGUGCUACAAUGGUAUCUACAACAGGAAGCAAGACUGCGAAGUUAAGCAAAUCCCUAAAAGAUACCUCAGUUCGGAUUGCACUCUGCAACUCGAGUGCAUGAAGCCGGAAUUACUAGUAAUCGUGGAUCAGCGUGCCACGGUGAAUGCGUUCCCGGGUCUUGUACACACCGCCCGUCACACCAUGGGAGUUGGUUCUACCUUAAGGCAAGGUUUCAAACCCUUGACCACGGUAUAGUCAGCGACUGGGGUGAAGUCGUAACAAGGUAGCCGUAGGGGAACCUGCGGCUGGAUUACCUCCUUUCU